GAUGAACGCUAGCGGCAGGCUUAAUACAUGCAAGUCGAGGGGUAGCAGAGUGUAGCAAUACAUUGCUGACGACCGGCAAACGGGUGCGGAACACGUACACAACCUUCCUUCAAGCGGGGAAUAGCCCAGAGAAAUUUGGAUUAAUACCCCAUAGAAUAUUUGGAUGGCAUCAUUUGAAUAUUAAAGAUUUAUCACUUGAAGAUAGGUGUGCGUCUGAUUAGGUAGUUGGCGGGGUAACGGCCCACCAAGCCUUCGAUCAGUAGCUGAUGUGAGAGCAUGAUCAGCCACACGGGCACUGAGACACGGGCCCGACUCCUACGGGAGGCAGCAGUAAGGAAUAUUGGUCAAUGGACGCAAGUCUGAACCAGCCAUGCCGCGUGGAGGAUGAAGGUCCUCUGGAUUGUAAACUUCUUUUAUCUGGGGCGAAACACCGCUUUUCUAAGCGGCUUGACGGUACCAGAUGAAUAAGCACCGGCUAACUCCGUGCCAGCCGCCGCCGUAACAC
rnacentral:rRNA from 1 species